AGAGUUUGAUCAUGGCUCAGGAUGAACGCUAGCGGCAGGCUUAAUACAUGCAAGUCGUGGGGCAGCAGGGUUGUAGCAAUACAAUCGCUGGCGACCGGCAAACGGGUGCGUAACACGUACGCAACCUUCCCGUUACUGUGGAAUAGCCCAGGGAAACUUGGAUUAAUACCACAUAUUAUAUUGAUGAGGCAUCUCGUUGAUAUCAAAGCUUCGGCGGUAACGGAUGGGCGUGCGGUUGAUUAGGUAGUUGGCGGGGUAACGGCCCACCAAGCCUACGAUCAAUAGCUGAUGUGAGAGCAUGAUCAGCCACACGGGCACUGAGACACGGGCCCGACUCCUACGGGAGGCAGCAGUAAGGAAUAUUGGUCAAUGGACGCAAGUCUGAACCAGCCAUGCCGCGUGGAGGAUGAAGGUCCUCUGGAUUGUAAACUUCUUUUAUCUGGGACGAAAAAAGGGAAUUCUUUCUCACUUGACGGUACCAGAUGAAUAAGCACCGGCUAACUCCGUGCCAGCAGCCGCGGUAAUACGGAGGGUGCAAGCGUUAUCCGGAUUCACUGGGUUUAAAGGGUGCGUAGGUGGGCUUGUAAGUCAGUGGUGAAAUCUCCGGGCUUAACUCGGAAACUGCCAUUGAUACUAUAAGUCUUGAAUACCAUGGAGGUGAGCGGAAUAUGUCAUGUAGCGGUGAAAUGCUUAGAUAUGACAUAGAACACCAAUUGCGAAGGCAGCUCGCUACGCGGUUAUUGACACUGAGGCACGAAAGCGUGGGGAUCAAACAGGAUUAGAUACCCUAGUAGUCC
rnacentral:rRNA from 1 species